UCCCCUACGGGAGGCAGCAGUGAGGAAUAUUGGUCAAUGGCCGAGAGGCUGAACCAGCCAAGUCGCGUGAGGGAAGACGGCCCUACGGGUUGUAAACCUCUUUUGUCGGGGAGCAAAGAGAGUCACGUGUGACUCAUUGAGAGUACCCGAAGAAAAAGCAUCGGCUAACUCCGUGCCAGCAGCCGCGGUAAUACGGAGGAUGCGAGCGUUAUCCGGAUUUAUUGGGUUUAAAGGGUGCGCAGGCGGAGGUGCAAGUCAGCGGUAAAAGCCCGGGGCUCAACCCCGGCGAGCCGUUGAAACUGGCG
rnacentral:rRNA from 1 species